UGGGAAUAGCAAGAUGAUUUCGGAGUCCGAGGUCGGACCGGAACGGGAACCCGCGCGCGUGCGUACCUGGUGACUCCCGCCUGAAUAUAUAGGCGGGUAGAGGGAACGUGGGGAAGUGAAACAUCUCAGUACCCACAGGAAGAGAAAGCAACAGCGAUUCCGUGAGUAGUGGCGAGCGAAAUCGGAAGAGGCUAAACCUAGCGUGUGUGAUAGCCGGCAGGCGUUGCAUGUUGGGGGUUGUGGGACUUUUCGGAUUGUUCUGCCGAGCAGUCGACGUGACAAGAGGGUAUAGACGAACGGUUUUGAAUGGCCGGUCAUAGAGGGUGCGAACCCCGUAGUCGAAAUGCUUGUUCUUGGCGUGAAGAGUAUCCCAAGUAGCACGGGGCCCGAGAAAUCCCGUGUGAAUCUGUCAGGACCACCUGAUAAGCCUAAAUACUCCCAGAUGACCGAUAGCGGACAAGUACCGUGAGGGAAAGGUGAAAAGUACCCCGGGAGGGGAGUGAAAUAGUACCUGAAACCGUUUGCUUACAAACCGUUGGAGCCUCCUUAGUAGGGGUGACAGCGUGCCUUUUGAAGAAUGAGCCUGCGAGUUAGCGAUACGUGGCGAGGUUAACCCGUGUGGGGUAGCCGUAGCGAAAGCGAGUCUGAAUAGGGCGAUUCAGUCGCGUGUCCUAGACCCGAAGCGAAGUGAUCUAUCCAUGGCCAGGUUGAAGCGACGGUAAGACGUCGUGGAGGACCGAACCCACUUAGGUUGAAAACUGAGGGGAUGAGCUGUGGAUAGGGGUGAAAGGCCAAUCAAACUUCGUGAUAGCUGGUUCUCUCCGAAAUGCAUUUAGGUGCAGCGUUGCGUGUUUCUUGCCGGAGGUAGAGCUACUGGAUGGCCGAUGGGCCCUACAAGGUUACUGACGUCAGCCAAACUCCGAAUGCCGGUAAGUGAGAGCGCAGCAGUGAGACUGUGGGGGAUAAGCUUCAUAGUCGAGAGGGAAACAACCCAGACCACCAACUAAGGUCCCUAAGCGCGUGCUAAGUGGGAAAGGAUGUGGAGUUGCUUUGACAACCAGGAGGUUGGCUUAGAAGCAGCCACCCUUGAAAGAGUGCGUAAUAGCUCACUGGUCAAGUGAUUCCGCGCCGACAAUGUAACGGGGCUCAAGCACGCCACCGAAGUUGUGGCAUUGACAUUUUUGGUAGGCCUUCGUGGUCCAGCCGUGUUGAUGGGUAGGAGAGCGUCGUGUGGCGAGUGAAGCGGCGGGGUGACCCAGCCGUGGACGCUACACGAGUGAGAAUGCAGGCAUGAGUAGCGAAAGACGUGUGAGAAACACGUCCUCCGAAAGACCAAGGGUUCCAGGGUCAAGCUAAUCUUCCCUGGGUAAGUCGGGACCUAAGGCGAGGCCGACAGGCGUAGUCGAUGGACAACGGGUUGAUAUUCCCGUACCGGCGAAGAACCGCCCAAGCUAAUCCAGUGGUGCUAAGAGUCCUAGCUCGGAAUGUUCCGGAUCCCUUCGGGGUGAUGGUCGUCCGUGUGAACGCUCGACCCCAUGCUGGUGCGGCUAGCGUAUUAACAGGUGUGACGCAGGAAGGUAGCCCAAGCCAGGCGAUGGUUGUCCUGGUGCAAGUGCGUAGGCCGACUCUUAGGCAAAUCCGGGAGUCAUGCAGGCUGAGACACGAUGCGGAUAAAAAGUGGGUGAUCCUAUGCUGCCGAGAAAAGCAUCGACGCGAGGUUCUAGCUGCCCGUACCCCAAACCGACUCAGGUGGUCAGGUAGAGAAUACCAAGGAGAUCGAGAGAAUCGUGGUUAAGGAACUCGGCAAAAUGCCCCCGUAACUUCGGGAGAAGGGGGGCCAUCCACUUACUAGGACUUGCUCCGAAAGGGUGUGGUGGCCGCAGAGACUAGUGGGUAGCGACUGUUUACUAAAAACACAGGUCCGUGCCAAGUCGCAAGACGAUGUAUACGGACUGACGCCUGCCCGGUGCUGGAAGGUUAAGAGGACCGGUUAGCCGCAAGGCGAAGCUGAGAAUUUAAGCCCCAGUAAACGGCGGUGGUAACUAUAACCAUCCUAAGGUAGCGAAAUUCCUUGUCGGGUAAGUUCCGACCUGCACGAAUGGCGUAACGACUUCCCAACUGUCUCAACCGCGAACUCGGCGAAAUUGCAUUACGAGUAAAGAUGCUCGUUACGCGCAGCAGGACGGAAAGACCCCGUGACCUUUACUACAGCUUGGUAUUGGUGUUCGGUGCGGCUUGUGUAGGAUA
rfam:Microbacterium sp. STBG005 Ion018_assembly_rep_c3458, whole genome shotgun sequence.